rnacentral:rRNA from 1 species
AUGCAAGUCGAACGAGGUCCAUGGUGCUUGCACCGGAAGACCUAGUGGCGAACGGGUGAGGAACACGUGAGAAACCUGCCCCGGACUUCGGGAUAACAGUUGGAAACGACUGCUAAUACCGAAUACCGCUGCGGAGUCGCAUGGCUCUGCAACGAAAGAAUUUCGGUCCGGGAGGGUCUCGCGGCCUAUCAGCUAGUUGGUGGGGUAACGGCCUACCAAGGCAUCGACGGGUAGCUGGUCUGAGAGGAUGAUCAGCCACACUGGGACUGAGACACGGCCCAGACUCCUACGGGAGGCAGCAGUGGGGAAUCUUGCGCAAUGGGCGAAAGCCUGACGCAGCAACGCCGCGUGCGGGAAGAAGGCCUUCGGGUUGUAAACCGCUUUCAGCAGGAACGAAAAUGACGGUACCUGCAGAAGAAGGUGCGGCCAACUACGUGCCAGCAGCCGCGGUGACACGUAGGCACCAAGCGUUGUCCGGAUUUAUUGGGCGUAAAGAGCUCGUAGGCGGUUCAGUAAGUCGGGUGUGAAAACUGUGGGCUUAACCCACAGCCUGCACUCGAAACUGCUGUGACUAGAGUUCGGUAGGGGAGCGGGGAAUUCCUGGUGUAGCGGUGAAAUGCGCAGAUAUCAGGAGGAACACCGGAGGCGAAGGCGCCGCUCUGGGCCGACACUGACGCUGAGGAGCGAAAGCGUGGGUAGCAAACAGGAUUAGAUACCCUGGUAGUCCACGCCGU